rnacentral:rRNA from 1 species
AAAGCAGGGGAUCGUAAGACCUUGGCUUUUGGAGUGGCCGAUGCCUGAUUAGCUAGUUGGUGGGGUAAGGGCCUACCAAGGCAACGAUCAGUAGUUGGUAUGAGAGGACGACCAGCCACACUGGGACUGAGACACGGCCCAGACUCCUACGGGAGGCAGCAGUGGGGAAUUUUGGACAAUGGGCGAAAGCCUGAUCCAGCAAUGCCGCGUGAGUGAAGAAGGCCUUCGGGUUGUAAAGCUCUUUCAGUCGAGAAGAAAAGGUUGUGAUUAAUAAUCACAACUUAUGACGGUACCGACAGAAGAAGCACCGGCUAACUACGUGCCAGCAGCCGCGGUAAUACGUAGGGUGCGAGCGUUAAUCGGAAUUACUGGGCGUAAAGGGUGCGCAGGCGGCUUUGUAAGUCAGAUGUGAAAUCCCCGGGCUUAACCUGGGAAUUGCGUUUGAAACUACAAGGCUAGA